rnacentral:rRNA from 1 species
GCUCAGGAUGAACGCUAGCUACAGGCUUAACACAUGCAAGUCGAGGGGUAGCAGGGUAGCAAUACCGCUGACGACCGGCGCACGGGUGAGUAACACGUAUCCAGCCUUCCCAUAACUCAGGGAUAGCCUUUCGAAAGAAAGAUUAAUACCUGAUAGUACUUAAGAAAGGCAUCUUUUUUAAGUUAAAGAUUUAUUGGUUAUGGAUGGGGAUGCGUUCCAUUAGAUAGUUGGUGAGGUAACGGCUCACCAAGUCUUCGAUGGAUAGGGGUUCUGAGAGGAAGGUCCCCCACAUUGGUACUGAGACACGGACCAAACUCCUACGGGAGGCAGCAGUGAGGAAUAUUGGUCAAUGGGCGAGAGCCUGAACCAGCCAA